CGGCCUCGGCCUGCUGCGGCGAGAUGAAGUGCACGUGGGCGUCGAUGCCGCCGGCGGUGAGGAUGAGGUGCUCGCCGGAGAUGGCGUCGGUGCCCGGGCCGAGCGCGAGGCCGGGGGUGACGCCCGACAUGGUGGACGGGUUGCCGGCCUUGCCGAUGGCGCAGAUCAGCCCGUUCUUGAUGCCGAGAUCGGCCUUGAUGAUGCCCUGGCGGGCAUCGACGAUCGUGACGUUGGUGAUGACGAGAUCGGGCGCGCCGGCCGCGCUGGUCAGCUCGUUGUCAUAGCCCAUGCCGUCGCGCAG
rnacentral:sRNA from 1 species